UUGCACGGAGCCGACCCCGGGCUUGUCCGAGGAAUCCGUUGAGGAAGGAAGCCCCAAUGCCCGUGCCACAUCGAUGCCGUUCUGUGUUGCAGUUCACGACUUCUCCAUUGACUGAUCUGUGUCAAAGUAAUGGCUAAAUUU
rnacentral:snoRNA from 1 species